AGCAGGGAGCACUCUCUUUCGUGGAAGUAUUUGCAGAAGGUGAAGGCUCUGCAUUGGAGUGGGUUUCUUCAGGUGGUUGAGAUUUUUUUUUCUGGGCUUGCAACAGGAACCACUCAGAAAAGUGUAUUUCACAAGCUAAAACUUUUGGAGUGAACUUUGCAAACCCUAUGGGCAGUGUGGAUCUUGAGCCAGUCUCUGGGGCGAGGUCAGUGCCAACAGGCCAGUUCCUUCCCCUGGACACACCAGCUGCUUGGCAGACAGGAGCACCAACACUGGUGCACGUGCCAGGAAGAAGCAGUGGGUGGUAGAGCUGACCCCACACAAGCCAGGAAAUCUUCAUCUGUGUUAAGAACUGCUCUGUAUCUCCUACCUUCUCAUCAGGGUUUGCUACUGUCCAUUGUCUCCCUGACUGUGUUGUUGCCUGCAAAGGCCGCCAUCUUGGGGGGAGGGUUUGCAGCCAUCUUUUCCCUUUGUCUCCCCUCACAGAGUCACCUGCAGUGGGCACCAUCCCAAAAAAAGGCAUUUCCAGCAUUUUGGGCUUCUCUUGGUUCUCAGGAAAUGAAAAAUACAAUCAAAACUCCUUCUCUGAAUGCCUUUGAACUGAAUAUGAAGACCAAAUCAAAAUUAUUUCCAGGAGGCUAUAGCCAAAGAGUCCAACAUAAAAGGAAACUUCCUUCUUGAAGGUGAUGGAAAAUGAGAGUUUAAUGCAUCCAGAACUGGGCUAAAAAUCUAAGUUGUCUUUCCAAGAUAUUCUAAGUUUGAAACAACAAAACAGUAACUGUGUGGUUGGUUCAUCAUUACUUCAAAUCUGAAGUAUUGUCAAGCAUGAAAAAGAAGACUGAGAAUGAAAAAUACUGUAGCAUUUAAUGCAAAUAAUCUCAGUCUCAAUGAAAAUGGCUUCUACAAUACCUACAAAAUUAGAGAAGGUUUGAUGUAGGAAAUUAAUAAAUAUCUAAAAAACAAAACAAAAAAUCCUGCCAUUUUAUUAUUUAAUACUGUAAAUCUUAUCACUUCAUAAUCUUCUCAGUCUCUUGAAAGUGUCUCUUGAACAGUGACUCAAGUUACCAAGAAAAAAAAAAAGUAGAAUCAUGUAUGAUCUAUUGCAUAAAUCCAUUUCUUAUUGCACCUACAAAAAGAAUUUGUCCCUACUACUAUGUAUGAUGAAAAUUGCAACCUCUUCCUACAAAAUAUACGUCAAUCCAUAAACCCAUCAUGUUUAUACCUAUGUGGCUUUCCACUCAGACUCUGGAAUUCAGAUUUGAUUGCUUCUCUUUAACUUAUGCAUUGCACUUUUUUAAUCUCAUAGUGAUUAAGUAUGGUGUAUAUAUUUUUUAGACAUACUCAAUUUUAAGACAGUAAUAUUAUAGUUUAUAUUGUAGUGGUAGAAAUGAUGGGCAAAUAAAAAAGUUAAGAGUAACAGAAAUUACUUACUUGUAUUGUUUUGCAGAUAUAGGAGGAUUCAGUUUAUUGGUUGAUUAAGAAUAGAGUUGCACUUAAACAUGGCAUGAUAACUAAAAAAAUACUAUCAAAAGUAUGAAAACAUAUACAAAGCACAACACAAGAAAUGCAAUGGAGGAAGCAAAAUGGCUGGGUAUAAAUUACUUUAAUAACAUUGGAAACAUAUAAAAAUAUCGUGAAAGGAAAUAAUAAAUUAAAAACUUGUUGAUCAGUACACAAAACACAGGAAAAACUGUUUGCUGCAACAGAAGAGUAGUGUUAAACACUAAAAUGCCUGAAUCAAAUCAGAUAAACAAGUUCACUGGAUUAAAAAGGAAAAUAGGAUCAGUACGGAUUGGGAUUUCUCACCUAAGUAGAAAAGCACAGGAUUUUUAAGACUAUAAUAUUGCCAGGGGACCUAGGAUGGUGACUGUGCCUGUGACAUACUGUGGGAGACCAAGAAACCUAAGAGCAAGAAGCAAACAAUGAUGUAAACCAGGUAAAUUACACAGGGGUGCAUUGUGAUGUAAGAGUUUACAAUAUUAAAAUGGAUUAUUUCAGUGAUUCCAGUCAGGAAACCCACAAGCAGAGAAAAAGCUCUUGAGUCAGUCCUCAGCAAAGAACAGGACAUGAUCCAAGUUUAUGUCAUUAAGGAUCUAACCUGCAACUGUGUUCAUCAUAUUCUUUACUUCAUGUCCAACACAAAUCUAGGGUUUAACUUUAAGAAAAAAAUUAAUUGAAUGAGUGGCCUUAUUAAAAUAUUUUGGCUUAUGAGUGUCAUCAAGACUUUUCAGAGGCACCAUGGGAGGCUGUCAGGAAAAAAAAAACAAAACAAAAAAAAAAAAACCAAAACAAACCAGAAGGAGCAUUCCUUACAGAAGAUAUAUUGGAAAAUCUUUUUCAAAUGCAUGUAACAGUAGAAAAUCUGUAAGAGAAUAACAAAAUUAACUAUUGCAAAUUGCCAAAAUUAAAUGAAAACUACUCAGUAGUUUUGAAGGGACACACCUCCAAAGUCAUUAAAUUAUUAUUGUUGAUGUGCAACCCAUCUCAGUUGCAGCAUUUUCUAAAGCAGAUGUACAUGCCUAGGUGCCCCUCCUUUAGCCCUAAAUGUAAGAUAAGUACUAGCUCUUUUCCCCACUCAUUUGCAGUCUGACAGCAUUGCAAAUUAGUUCAGUUCACCGUGGGAAAAGCUGCAGAACAGAACAGCCAGAGCAACACAAGAUAAGCGAAUAUUAAAUGCCAACUAAACAGACAAUUCAUUAAAAUUAUUUCAGCAGUAUCUUAGAAAAGUAACAAAUCAUGCAAAAAGAAAAAAUACUGAGUCAGUGGCAUCCUGAGAUUUACUUUUCUUAUUCUCUCACAAUUGCUGUUUUUUCUGCUGGUUUAAUUGGUACAACUUAAUGGACUCUAUGAACUUAAAGGUUGUUUCCAAAGAAAAUGAGUCUAUGAAUCUAUUACUCUAACACUGUGCCUCUUGCUUAACUAGUAAAAUCAAUUCAAUAGCAUUGCAAUUUUUUUUUAGCAUCAAUAGCAACAUUUGAAUUGUAUCACCCAUCCCAAGAUUUCUGAGAAGGACAGUUUAACAAGUAACUUAUAGAUGUAAAGUAAUCUACAAAAUGGAAUGCAAGGAAUUUAAGAGAGAUAACGAAGAUGAACACAAAAAAAUGCAAGUAUUUUUUAAUUAUGGAAAAGAAUGGAAAAAAUCUGAUAAAUAUAAGUAUAUAUAUAAAGAAUACAGAAUUAUUCUUUAAAGAUGCUAUCAAGAAGCCACAAUUAUAAAUAACUAAUAAUAUAUUUGCAAAAUGUUAUUAUUCUACUAAAUAGAGGUUUUUCAUACCAGAGGAAACGGACUAUUUUAUAUUUAAACAUCUUCUAAAAAUAGGCAUACUUUUUGUGAGGUUUUUUCCUCUAUUUUUAAACCCAACAGGGCAAUUGGCUGCAUUGUUUCAAAGUCACUUAGGGUGAUUUUAAACAGAUGAAAAUUCAGACUUAAAAAUUUAGACUAUCUUCUAAUAAUACUCCCAGUUAGGAAAAAAGGAAUGAAGGAGCAGAACUUAUGUACAAAUUUUACACUCAGUGAUCCUGGUAAUUCUGGUAAUUCUUCCAUUAACAGCAAAGGUUUUAAUCAUACCCCCUCAAGACCCACAGAGUUUUUCAAAAAACAAGACCACAAACCUGAAGUCUUACCAAAAAAUUUUUACUUUUUCUGAAGCAAUAGAGUUCUGAAGCAACUCUAUUGCUUCAGAAAAAGUAAAAUUCCCAGUAUAUUUAAAUAGUACUCAGUAAAAAUUGGUUAUAUUAGAUCCUAUGCAAACUAAAAAUUCUCAAUAAAUACUGCAAUUAGAAAGGGACAGCAAAUCAGUGUGAUGAGUAGAUGGUUUAUGCUUAGGAAAGUCCCAAAAUCUAAAGGAACCGAUUUCAUGGCAAGGGAACCACUAGAGAGUCCUAAGAACAGGAAUCAGUCUUGAAUAUCUUGUUGGGCUGGGUGGUUGAACUCAAGGAAUUGUAAUCAAUGGCUUGAUGCCCAAGUGGAGACCAGUGACAAGUGGUGUCCCUCAGGGGUCAGUGUUGGGACCAGCACUGUUCAACAUCUUGGUUGGUGACAGGGACAGAGAGAUUGAGGGCACUCAGCAAGUUCACUGAUGACACCAAGCUGUGUGGUGUGGUCCCCUCUGGAGGGAAGGGAGCCAUCCAGAGGGACUGGACAUGUACAAUACAGGCCUGAGAGGUGAGUCUGUGUGAACCUUGAGAAGUUCAAUAAGGCCAAGUGCAAGGUCCUGCACCUGGGUCAUGGCAAUUCCCCAGCACAAACACAGGCUGGGAGGAGAAUGAAUUGAGAGCAGACCUAUGGAGGAUGACUCGUGGCUCUGAGUGGAUGAGGAGUUCAACAUAACCCAGUGACACGUGCUUGCAAGCCCAGAAAAUCAGCUGUGUCUGCUGAAGAAUGAUGUGGCCAGAAGAUAAGGAAAGUGGUUCUCCUCCUCUACUGGUCUUGUGAGACUCCACCUGGAAUGGUGCAUUGAUCUGUCCAAGGACACAGACCUGUUGGAGCCAAGCUGAGAGAGUCAGGGAUAUUCAGCCUGGAGAAGAGAAGGCUCUGGGGAGACUUUGGAGAGGCUUCCAAUAUAUAAAAGGGAAAUAUCUUCUGAGAGCCAUUGAGUGUCACUGCAUGACUGAUAAAAUUACAUCACCCCACUGAGAGAUGCUCUGCCCAGAUGAAGGAGCCAAGCAUUCCUACCUGGAUCUAUUCUGAGCCUUGGAACACCACAGGCAGCCUUUUCACAUUGAAUUCCCAGAGGAUCAGCUUUCUUUUCCAUUGGAUUCCCAGAGGAAGACCAGGCCCAUCUACAUCACCACUGGACUUCCAGAGGAAAACUGCACCCUUCUACAGGAUCACUGCUUCACUGCAAGAAGAUUGCAGCCACCAUUUAAUCGGACUGCUACCAACACCCAGACCAACGGGGUGUCAGGUCAUACUCUGACUCUGUCAGUGUUGUUUUGUAUUACUACAUUUCUAUUUUUCCUAAUAAAGAACUGUAACCCUACUCCCAUAUCUUUGUCUGAGAGCCUCUUAAUAAUUCAGAGGGAGGGGGUUUAAAUUUUCUACUUCAAGCGAGGCUCCUGCCUUCC